CCUACGGGUGGCUGCAGUGAGGAAUAUUGGUCAAUGGGCGAGAGCCCGAACCAGCCAAGUCGCGUGAGGGAAGACGGUCCUAUGGAUUGUAAACCUCUUUUGUCGGGGAGCAAAAAGGCCUCGUGAGGCCACAAGUGAGAGUACCCGAAGAAAAAGCAUCGGCUAACUCCGUGCCAGCAGCCGCGGUAAUACGGAGGAUGCGAGCGUUAUCCGGAUUUAUUGGGUUUAAAGGGUGCGUAGGCGGAAGGUUAAGUCAGCGGUCAAAUGUCGGUGCUCAACACCGGCCUGCCGUUGAAACUGGUCUUCUUGAGUGAGCGAGAAGUAUGCGGAAUGCGUGGUGUAGCGGUGAAAUGCAUAGAUAUCACGCAGAACUCCGAUUGCGAAGGCAGCAUACCGGCGCUCAACUGACGCUGAGGCACGAAAGCGUGGGGAUCGAACAGGAUUAGAUACCCUAGUAGUC
rnacentral:rRNA from 1 species